rnacentral:rRNA from 1 species
GGAGUGGCGAACGGGUGAGUAAUACAUAAGCAAUCUGCCCAUCGGCCUGGGAUAACAGUUGGAAACGACUGCUAAUACCGGAUAGGUGAUGAAGAGGCAUCUCUUGAUCAUUAAAGUUGGGAUACAACACGGAUGGAUGAGCUUAUGGCGUAUUAGCUAGUAGGUGAGGUAACGGCUCACCUAGGCGAUGAUACGUAGCCGACCUGAGAGGGUGACCGGCCACAUUGGGACUGAGACACGGCCCAAACUCC